rnacentral:sRNA from 1 species
AUGCCGUUUUGUGUUCAGUUUGGACGGCGACGUCCUAACGAGUAGAUCGUGACGGUUUCGUGUGCGCGUGUUAUUAGGUGCAGAGAAAAAAAAAUCGUAUCAAAAUACGGUCAAGUUUGUGAGUGAGUGUAAAUUAUUGUGUGCUGCAGAGAGGCUUUUUUACUCUUUCAAAAAA